GAUGAACGCUGGCGGCGUGCCUAAUACAUGCAAGUCGAGCGAACGGACGAGAAGCUUGCUUCUCUGAUGUUAGCGGCGGACGGGUGAGUAACACGUGGAUAACCUACCUAUAAGACUGGGAUAACUUCGGGAAACCGGAGCUAAUACCGGAUAAUAUUUUGAACCGCAUGGUUCAAAAGUGAAAGACGGUCUUGCUGUCACUUAUAGAUGGAUCCGCGCUGCAUUAGCUAGUUGGUAAGGUAACGGCUUACCAAGGCAACGAUGCAUAGCCGACCUGAGAGGUUGAUCGGCCCCCUUGGACCUGGGCCCCGGCCCAGCCUCCACCGGGAGGCAGCAGUGGGGACUCUUCCGCAAUGGGCGAAACCCUGCCGGAGCAACGCCGCGUGGGUGAUGAAGUCCUUCGGUUCGUAAACCCCUGUUAUUAGGGAAGAACAUAUGUGUAAGUAACUGUGCCCAUCUUGACGUUCCCUAACCAGAAAGCCCCGGCUACCUCCGU
rnacentral:rRNA from 1 species